UACGUAGGGAGCAAGCGUUGUCCGGAAUCAUUGGGCGUAAAGCGCGCGUAGGUGGCCAUUUAAGUCCGCUGUGAAAGUCAAAGGCUCAACCUUUGAAAGCCGGUGGAUACUGGAUGGCUAGAGUACGGAAGAGGCGAGUGGAAUUCCUGGUGUAGCGGUGGAAUGCGCAGAUAUCAGGAGGAACACCAAUAGCGAAGGCAGCUCGCUGGGACGUACUGACACUGAGGCGCGAAAGCGUGGGGAGCGAAACAGG
rnacentral:rRNA from 1 species